UUAAAUUGAAGAGUUUGAUCAUGGCUCAGAUUGAACGCUGGCGGCAGGCCUAACACAUGCAAGUCGAACGGUAACAGGAAGCAGCUUGCUGCUUCGCUGACGAGUGGCGGACGGGUGAGUAAUGUCUGGGAAACUGCCUGAUGGAGGGGGAUAACUACUGGAAACGGUGGCUAAUACCGCAUAACGUCGCAAGACCAAAGAGGGGGACCUUCGGGCCUCUUGCCAUCAGAUGUGCCCAGAUGGGAUUAGCUUGUUGGUGAGGUAACGGCUCACCAAGGCGACGAUCCCUAGCUGGUCUGAGAGGAUGACCAGCCACACUGGAACUGAGACACGGUCCAGACUCCUA
rnacentral:rRNA from 1 species